GACGAACGCUGGCGGCGUGCCUAAUACAUGCAAGUUGAGCGCUGAAGGUUGGUACUUGUACCAACUGGAUGAGCAGCGAACGGGUGAGUAACGCGUGGGGAAUCUGCCUUUGAGCGGGGGACAACAUUUGGAAACGAAUGCUAAUACCGCAUAAAAACUUUAAACACAAGUUUUAAGUUUGAAAGAUGCAAUUGCAUCACUCAAAGAUGAUCCCGCGUUGUAUUAGCUAGUUGGUGAGGUAAAGGCUCACCAAGGCGAUGAUACAUAGCCGACCUGAGAGGGUGUUCGGCCACAUUGGGACUGAGACACGGCCCAAACUCCUCCGGGAGGCAGCAGUAGGGAAUCUUCGGCAAUGAACGAAAGUCUGACCGAGCAACGCCGCGUGAGUGAAGAAGGUUUUCGGAUCGUAAAACUCUGUUGGUAGAGAAGAACGUUGGUGAGAGUGGAAAGCUCAUCAAGUGACGGUAACUACCCAGAAAGGGACGGCUAACUACGUGC
rnacentral:rRNA from 1 species